rnacentral:lncRNA from 1 species
GUUAAUGUUAUUAGACUUUUACUUCAAGUCAAAACAGCGAGUGGACUAAGUUAAUUGUUAUUAUUUUUCUAAAAUUUGUCUCAUUGAUUGGAAUAUAACCUGGACAGAAGCCUUCUUAUGAGUUUCUCGUUUCAAGAUGGAUGGAUAAUGUGGACCAACUGACAAUGACCGUUUCUAUCAACAGGAAUAAUUAUUAUUAUUAUACCCCCGCUUUAAAAAAGUGGGAGUAUACUGCUUUACUCUGUCUGUCCAUCCCAUAAAUAUUUUU